rnacentral:lncRNA from 1 species
AGCAUAUCUCUCGUGUUCCAUCGGCGGACCUGCUGCGGUUUCUGGAUGAGAAGGCGGUAUACGUCGCCCUUAUCCAGGAGCAAUGGAUCGUCAGUGAAAGGGUUCGGGGACUGAUUGGUCGCGGAUACCGUCCAUCGACCAUCCUGUAUCCUAUAUCUAUAUCCUAUAACCUGUAUUGUGGUAAGAAAUGAGCUUAGUGUUUUGUUUUCUUCCAGGUUCAACACUCCAGACGGGAGGAACCUAUGUAUAUCUAGCCUUAAGUCACUAAGGCUUUCUCAAAUCCAGCCCGAUUAGUCGACCCCCAAAGUCCAACCACAGCCAGUGGUGGACACGGGAGCUGAGCGAAAUCAGAACGUGUAUCGAGGAAACUCUUCAACAUGAAAAAGUGACGAGAACACAAGAAAGCUGAGACUAAUGCCGCCACAGCUUCAAUCUCUUCAAUGCCAUCGACGGCACCACUGAAGCCUCAAGGCUUCCAGCACACAAGCACACCAGGCCUGUUCCGCAACCUGGACGGUGCUUUUGUAGAAAACAGCCAAGAGUCCCUAGAACUCCUCAUGAGUACCCACUUCCCUACGAAGGGUGGAGGGAGGUGAAAGUGUCCCCAAGGUUGGUAAGAUAAUCACAUCUCCCCAAAAGCCUGUCAUUCGUUUUUCUGUAAACGAUUCCGUUCUUGUGAAUCUGGUCAUGAACGACCCUAUUCUUUGCAAACAAGGUCACCUACGCGGAUGAUCUAGUAGUACAGGUAACGCGAAAGUACCUGCACACAAUUAGUGAUCUUCUAGAAUCUGCACUAGGAUUGACCGCCGAAUGGGUACUCCAGAACUGUCUAGCG